UAGGUGAGUAUAGCUCAAUUGGUAGAGCGUUAGAUUGUGGAUCUAAAGGUUAUAGGUUCGAUCCCU
rnacentral:tRNA from 1 species